rnacentral:rRNA from 1 species
GGGAUAACUAGUCGAAAGAUUAGCUAAUACCGCAUACGACCUGGGGGUGAAAGUGGGGGACCGCAAGGCCUCAUGCUAUAGGAGCGGCCGAUGUCUGAUUAGCUAGUUGGUGAGGUAAAGGCUCACCAAGGCGACGAUCAGUAGCUGGUCUGAGAGGACGAUCAGCCACACUGGGACUGAGACACGGCCCAGACUCCUACGGGAGGCAGCAGUGGGGAAUUUUGGACAAUGGGCGAAAGCCUGAUCCAGCAAUGCCGCGUGUGUGAAGAAGGCCUUCGGGUUGUAAAGCACUUUUGUCCGGAAAGAAAUGGCUCUGGUUAAUACCUGGGGUCGAUGACGGUACCGGAAGAAUAAGGACCGGCUAACUAUGUGCCAGCAGCCGCGGUAAUACGUAGGGUCCAAGCGUUAAUCGGAAUUACUGGGCGUAAAGCGUGCGCAGGCGGUUGUGCAAGACCGAUGUGAAAUCCCCGAGCUUAACUUGGGAAUUGCAUUGGUGACUGCACGGCUAGAGUGUGUCAGAGGGGGGUAGAAUUCCACGUGUAGCAGUGAAAUGCGUAGAGAUGUGGAGGAGUACCGAUGGCGAAGGCAGCCCCCUGGGAUAACACUGACGCUCAUGCACGAAAGCGUG